UACGGGGGGAGCAAGCGUUGUUCGGAUUUACUGGGCGUAAAGGGCGCGUAGGCGGUGCCACAAGUCACUUGUGAAAUCCCCGGGCUUAACUCGGGGCCUGCAGGCGAAACUGUGGUGCUGGAGUAUGGCAGAGGGGGGUGGAAUUCCGCGUGUAGCAGUGAAAUGCGUAGAGAUGCGGAGGAACACCGAUGGCGAAGGCAGCCCCCUGGGCCAAUACUGACGCUCAGGCACGAAAGCGUGGGGAGCAAACAGG
rnacentral:rRNA from 1 species